CAACUGGGAGAUUUACAGUUUUUCAUGCAGCCAACCAAGACAUUGGGGUUAACAUCAUCUCAAAUGGUUGGCAAAGAUUGCUUGUAACUGUCAGUGUAGGACAAGAAAGGCAGGUAUAGGUUAGGGAGGGCAUCCAUCGGUGAGCUCUGACUGGAUGUGAGGACCUGUCACACUUGACCAGAGAUGAAGGAUGAAGCACAUUCCUGGAUCAGAGGACUCCAUGUUGGACAGCGCAACCUGGAGAAGUCCCGUCCUGGAUGGCUGCAGUAAUGACCUAGCCCAAGAUGAACCGACCUUUCUACGACGAGGACUUCGCCCAAGAUGAACCGACCUUUUCCACGGGAUGUCUUUAGAUGUUGGACCUUGCCAAACUGUACACAUGCCUC